UGCAAGUCGAGCGGACUGAUGGGAGCUUGCUCCCUGAGGUUAGCGGCGGACGGGUGAGUAACACGUGGGCAACCUACCUGUAAGACUGGGAUAACUCCGGGAAACCGGGGCUAAUACCGGAUAACCCGUUCCACCUCAUGGUGGAGCGGUAAAAGAUGGCCUCUGGCUAUCACUUACAGAUGGGCCCGCGGCGCAUUAGCUAGUUGGUAAGGUAACGGCUUACCAAGGCGACGAUGCGUAGCCGACCUGAGAGGGUGAUCGGCCACACUGGGACUGAGACACGGCCCAGACUCCUACGGGAGGCAGCAGUAGGGAAUCUUCCGCAAUGGACGAAAGUCUGACGGAGCAACGCCGCGUGAGUGAUGAAGGUUUUCGGAUCGUAAAGCUCUGUUGUUAGGGAAGAACAAGUGCCGUUUGAAUAAGGCGGCACCUUGGCGGUACCUAACCAGAAAGCCACGGCUAACUACGUGCCAGCAGCCGCGGUAAUACGUAGGUGGCAAGCGUUGUCCGGAAUUAUUGGGCGUAAAGCACGCGCAGGCGGUCUCUUAAGUCUGAUGUGAAAGCCCACGGCUCAACCGUGGAGGGUCAUUGGAAACUGGGAGACUUGAGUACAGAAGAGGAGAGUGGAAUUCCACGUGUAGCGGUGAAAUGCGUAGAUAUGUGGAGGAACACCAGUGGCGAAGGCGACUCUCUGGUCUGUAACUGACGCUGAGGCGCGAAAGCGUGGGGAGCAAACAGGAUUA
rnacentral:rRNA from 1 species